rnacentral:rRNA from 1 species
UACGAAGGGGGCUAGCGUUGUUCGGAAUUACUGGGCGUAAAGCGCGCGCAGGCGGCUAUCCAAGUCAGUGGUGAAAGCCCGGAGCUCAACUCCGGAACUGCCAUUGAAACUGUUUAGCUUGAGGACGAGAGAGGUGAGUGGAAUUCCCAGUGUAGAGGUGAAAUUCGUAGAUAUUGGGAAGAACACCGGUGGCGAAGGCGGCUCACUGGCUCGUUUCGUGACGCUCAGGCGCGACAGCGUGGGGAUCAAACAGG